rnacentral:rRNA from 1 species
GAUGAACGCUGGCGGCGUGCCUAAUACAUGCAAGUCGAGCGAACAGACGAGGAGCUUGCUCCUCUGACGUUAGCGGCGGACGGGUGAGUAACACGUGGAUAACCUACCUAUAAGACUGGGAUAACCUCGGGAAACCGGAGCUAAUACCGGAUAAUAUAUUGAACCGCAUGGUUCAAUAGUGAAAGACGGUUUUGCUGUCACUUAUAGAUGGAUCCGCGCCGCAUUAGCUAGUUGGUAAGGUAACGGCUUACCAAGGCAACGAUGCGUAGCCGACCUGAGAGGGUGAUCGGCCACACUGGAACGGAGACACGGUCCAGACUCCUACGGGAGGCAGCAGUAGGGAAUCUUCCGCAAUGGGCGAAAGCCUGACGGAGCAACGCCGCGUGAGUGAUGAAGGUCUUCGGAUCGUAAAACUCUGUUAUUAGGGAAGAACAAAUGUGUAAGUAACUAUGCACGUCUUGACGGUACCUAAUCAGAAAGCCACGGCUAACUACGUG